UACGUAGGGGGCAAGCGUUGUCCGGAUUUAUUGGGCGUAAAGAGCGUGUAGGCGGCCAGGUAGGUCAGCUGUGAAAACUCGAGGCUCAACCUCGAGACGCCGGUUGAAACCAUCUGGCUAGAGUCCGGAAGAGGAGAGUGGAAUUCCUGGUGUAGCGGUGAAAUGCGCAGAUAUCAGGAAGAACACCCGUGGCUAAGGCAGCUCUCUAGUACGGUACUGACGCUGAGACGCGAAAGCGUGGGGAGCGAACAGG
rnacentral:rRNA from 1 species